GCUGCGCCUGUGCUUCUCCUCUCCUCUCCUAAAUGUCUAUACUCUGUUUGCGCGAUUUAACAAGUUCUUGUUAGUGAUUUAUAAAGCCAGCCGAGGUAUAACUCAUGUUAAAGUAACACAAUGGUUGCUUUUUAGUGAAAAAUUGUCAUUUUUGUAUGUAAAAGCAGUGUUUGAUGAGCUAACGCUAACAACCCAAUGCUAACGACUAGCGUUCUUAUGAGCCCAGUGUGAAAUGAAGAUAAUUCAUUUGACUGUAAACCACGGUUAUUGUGUUGUUUUAUUAAUUACAUUCGGUGUGUUCGUGUUUUUCAGUCUGUUAAAUAAGGUGCAGUUAGUUCUCUUCACAAAUCAGUUGGUUAAAACAGCCUCAUUCUUUAUGCUGUAAAGUUUUUAACGAACCGCCAUCUUAGAUUCAGUUUCAGCUGUCGGCAAGAUCAAAGGAGCCAUUUUACCGCCUCUGACCGAACACGGGAGAAAAAGAGUCACGUUUGUCCAGAGUGAAAUAAAGCUUGGUUUUGCCUUUGCUGAGUGAAACAGAACUUCGGUUUUGCCUUUGCUGGAUACUGAUCUGGUCGUCGCAAGUCUGAGUGAACAGAUCUUUGGCUUUGCCUUUGCUGGUGACCUGCUGCAGAAGAUCCUCUCUCUCUAUCAUUAUAAGCAAUUCUGUCUAUCCUAUCUCUCUCCCAACUCUAUCUAAUUUGACAGCCAUUCUAUCUUGUAUCCCUCUAUCUCUACUGCUCUAUCUAAUUUGACACCAUUCCAUCUUGUAUCCCUCUUCUCUACUGCUCUAUCUAUUUGACAGCCAUUCCAUCUUGUAUCCCUCUAUCUCUAUGCUCUAUCUAAUGAGAAUCCAAGUUUUCAGAAAUCCAAGUUUUCAGAAUCCAAGUUUUCAGAAUCCAAGUUUUCAGAAUCCAAGUUUUCAGAAUCCAAGUUUUCAGAAAUCCAAGUUACCAGUACUUGAUCUAUCUGUUACAGAAUUCUGAGAGAUCUCUGCUCUCACUGCUCCUUCUUUCCUGUCAUUAAGCUCUCUCACAUUCAGUCAUUUGCUGGAAAUUACA